GUGGGUUGUUCAAGGUGCUGUUGAUGUAAACAUUGGGGCAAAUCCUUCUGCUGAGGGUUGCGAUGAAGAUGAAGGUGUGGAUGAUCAAGCUGUUAAGGUUGUUGAUAUUGUUGACACUUUUAGACUUCAGGUUUGUAUACAUUUUAUGUUAACUUUAGUCCAUUUUGGUAUACCUGUUAAUUGUAUGUGAAUAAGAAGUGAUUUGCCAUUUGCAGGAGCAACCUUCUUUUGACAAGAAGGGGUUUGUUGGAUACAUCAAGAAAUACAUCAAGAACCUGACACCCAAGCUAGAAGGAGAAGCACAAGAUUUAUUUAAAAAGAACAUUGAAUCAGCAACUAAGUUCCUCAUGUCAAGGCUCAAGGACCUUCAAUUGUAUGUCCAUUUUGACACUCCUCUUUUCAGUUUAUGACAUUGUUGGAGCUAAUUCUGACUGAAGUUGUAUUCUUUUUGUUUUCUCGCUCACAUCAUUUGUUCCUUGAAAUAGAACCUUAUGCCUGUGUGUUUGUGGUGACAGCUUUCUUGGUGAGAGCAUGCAUGACGACGGUGCCCUGGUGUUUGCGUACUACAAGGAUGGCGCAACUGAUCCUACCUUUUUGUACAUUGCACCUGGCUUGAAGGAGGUCAAGUGCUAGUUGUCUGGUGGAGAGUGCUUAUGUUGGGAGUUUUGCAUUGGAGAUUUUGUUUCAUGUAGUUUUAAGGUCUGGUCCUUUUUGCUUAUUUAUGUCUGUUUUUCUGAGCUUUGGGUUAUUUGUAAUGGAUCUGUAUUAUUACUUUAUGACCUAGAAUAGCCUUGAGCUAUAUUGGCAUUUGUCUUUGGGACCAGAGCUACCGAAUGAAGAUCUAUUAUUUAAUCUUCUGCGUGCUUGUGAUUGGGGUGGCUUCGUUGCAGCUUGUAGAUUACCACCUGCCGUCUCUUGGCAUUUGUUUGUUUGUGGUUCGGGAAAUAUUCUGCUGGGGUUCAUCUCGUUCUCUCGCGUACGUCCAGCAUCUAUUGAAAUUUUCUCAGAAAAGAUACCAAUUUAUGAGCUUCAUCCAUGUGCAUAAAAGUACUGGGAGGAAGAAUUGUUGCUGGAUCUUGCAACGAACAAACAUUGGUCUGACUUUAUUGCAAAGUGUUGCAUUAAACAUAGGGAGUCUAUAUAAUACUUAUUUAAAUCUUCUAACCCUAGAUAGGGUUGAGUUGAGGGACUCUCUUGGAAUCUAAAGCUAUUAUGAGGCGAAGAAGAAGGGUGCAGUGACACACCCCUCAUUUGAGGGUUUUGUGGGCUUGUCACUCGGCUAGCAUUCAAUAUAUAUAUAUUGAUAUAGUCCAUACUUGUUGAUUAUUAGAAACUAAUAUUAGCUUCCUUGGGAAAUUGAGGUUUUCUUUAUUGACAGAGAGGAAGUUAUAAUUUAUUGAGGUUUUUUUUAUUGACACAGAGGAAGUUAUAAUUUAUUAAUUUAUGAGACACUGGAAAGGUACAAGAGUCCUCAACGAGGCAACUCCAAUUUAUUAAUUUAUGAGACACUGGAAAGGUAUUCCUCAACAAGGCAACUCCAUCUCCCUUUUAGGAUGAAUGAAUAGGUAAUUCGGGAGCACAAUACGUCAUGUAUCUAUACAAAUUUAAACCAAGGCACAAGGUCAAAACUAAAGCACCAACUAACAAUUAUACAAAAACCAAGGUACAAGGUCAAAACUAAAGCACCAACUAACAAUUCUUCGUUCAACUUGUGAACGAGUACCAACAUCGCUAGCCCUAGAAACACAUCUUUUCCUUCAAAAUAUCAUACGCGGUGUGCAUGAAGUGGGUAAAGGUAUAGAAAUACGUGGUGCAGGAUAGCGGUAGAGCAUAAUAUGCACCAUCGAAUUCCAAAAGGUGACGCAAGGCUGCUGCAACCAUCACAGGAGUGACUUCAAUCAUAAAUUUCGCCUUCGCACCAAUUAACCGAAAAUGCGACAUCUCGCGAUGCCAAUAAAGAAAGUACAAUGCAACCACAUGAAAAAUGAAGACACCAUCACUAUGCUACGAAUGGGAGAGCCAUGUCGAGGAAGAAUAUCACCCAUCUGGCUGCUGGAUUUGAGAAAGAGGUGGCGGCCGGCGGAAAUUGAGGUAUGUAAGGUAAAGUCCUCUUUCACUGUUAAGGCUGGAUCACAUAUUUAUUUUCUCCUACAUCGUAAGUGACAAUGAAACAGUUGCUUUUAAUUUACGCAAAAUGGCUUGAUGGACCUUAUACUAUGUCCGUUUUGUAAUGUGGAUUCUCAUACUUACAUAUUUGUCAUCUGAGUCCUUAAAACCACUAAAAAAACAACAUUUUAAACAUUUAAAUAUUAAAAAAAAUAAAAAGUUUAAAUUGAGAAUUAAAAAAUAAAUAAAAAUUAAAAUGAGGUUAAGUUUCCAUCUUCUCCAUCCAUCUCUCCACUGCCGCACCACACCGCUACCGGUGUAACAACAAUCUAUCAACAACUUCUUUCAUGGUUAAAGCUUGUGGGUUACUGAAUUUCCACAUGAACAACAACGACAACUUCAAUUUUCCUCAAUCAACAACAACAACUUCCAUCCGAACAAGCUGAAUUAGUGGCUGGACGGGAAAUUUCAAUUUUCUCCAAUGAACAAUAACAACUUCCAUGGUUAAAGCUUGUGGGUUACUGAAUUUCCACCUGAACAACAACGACAACUUCAAUUUUCCCCAAUGAACAACAACAACUUCCAUUCGAACAAGCUGAAUUAGUGGUUGGACGGGAAAUUUUAAUUUUCUCCAAUGAACAACAACAACUUCCAUGGUUAAAGCUUGUGGGAUACUGAAUUUCCACCUGAACAAAAACGACAACUUCAAUUUUCCACCUGAUUCCUAUACUUUUCCUUUUGUUCUUAAAGCUUGUGGGUUACUGAAUUUGUUGUUUCUUGGUAAGACCUUUCAUUGUCAAGUGUUGAAGUUUGGGUUUUUAGUUGAUGUGUUUGUAUGUAAUAAUCUUGUUCAUGUGUAUAAUGUGAACAAGAAAGAAACAAAACUUGGACUAACAUACUCCUUUGCAACAUUUAUGAAUGAUUGAUUUAGCGACGGAAAGAGGGGACGAUAAUUUGUGAAGAGAGUUGACAUCAAACUGUAGUUGAAAUUCCGAGGAAGCUUCCCAAAUUAAACCCAACUCCUAAGUUUUGGCCUCCAUUGCAAAACUUGAAAGCUCGACACAAAAAUAAAACUAAAUCAAAAUUCAUUGUUGAUUUGUUUUAGGAUUAGGGUUUUUUGAGGUAGUACUAAGCUCAAAUUUAAGCUUUCAUUACUGAUUGAAUCCGAUUUGAGUGGCUAAAUUAGAGGACUGCCAUUGACGGACCAAGCUUCGGAUGCACUAAGGUGUUUGAUGAAAGUUGUAGCAGAGAUGUUUUUUUUAAAAAAAGAAUUUUUAAAUUAUUUUAAUAUAAAAUUGAUCAAAAAUUGAUCUCACUCGCACCUCACGCGUGCUUGCACGCACUUUAUCCUAGUCAACCAUUUUAAUGCCACAUAAGUUCGGUCAAUAGUCAAAGGAUUUAAAAUAUUACUUUUUAGUAGGUUCAAGGGAAUCCACAUUACAAAACGGAUAUAAUACAAGGUCCACCGAACUAUUUUGUCAAAAAUUAAUAAUAUUUAAUAAAAAAUAAAUAUUUAUGACAUUAUUAUUUCAGCUGUUAUAAUUUUAUUAUAUCACUCAUAAUUAAUUAUUAGCAGUCAUGUAAGUAUUAAAAAGCUAAUAAUUUAUAAUCUAUAUUUAAAUUUUUUACUCAUUAUUAAAAAAACUCCGUAAUAGAUAAAAUUAUUUUUUCACUUAUUAUUUUAAUUAUGAAUUAAUUACUAAGUAAAAAAUUAAACAAUCCUAAAAUAUAUUGUAGAAAAAUUUUCUUAGGCCGAAUUUAAUUAAAUUUAAAGUUUCACUUGCAUUAGGACUCUUAUGCUAACUAAACAAUGAGUCCUACGGUUAUGGGAUUUAUAUUGUCCAAAAAUAGUUAUAUUAAUAUAAAAAAUAAUGAUAGUUAUAAUUAUUUUUUUUUAAAAAAAAAAAGAACUUUAUGAACAUGUUCCGGCUAUAUUAAACUCUGCAAUGUUGGUUUCCCCUAUUUUUGAUCUUCGAAUUCUUAAACUCUCUAGGUUCAGGGUAAAUACUAUGGUUAUCCUAUGAACAACUUCUUAUAGGAUAAUAGCGUACGGGGUAGCGUUUAGACGUGUGUGGGGUGCCGCAAGUGCGAGUUCAGGUAUAUGCAAAUGGGAUGCAGCGCGGGGCAGGUUGGAACAAGAAACAAUUUACUUUUGAUGGAUGCGGGUUAAACUUUUAGUAACAUUUAUACCUGUAGCGCUUUCGUGACAAUAAUGGCCUAAUGGGUAAGAUUUUAAACACCAAAGCACUGAAGUAGCUAUUUCUAAAGAUACAUGCAUGGUUGUUAAUGAUCUUCCUUGUGACAACUGAAAAUGAGUUCUCUUGAAAAAAUUUCAUUCCAUGACAUAAACAAUUUCUUAUUUAGAAGAAUGUAAGCAGUCCAAAUUAUUAAUAUUACUAAAAUAAUACAAAUUUUUUACGGUGAUAAAAAUAAAUUGCAAUCACAAUUAAAAAUAUGAAGAAACAACAGUUUUUAUUGAUAAACGAUGUGGUAUAAAUCUGUUCCUCCCUUCUUCUCUCUUGAUUUUCUCCAUAAUUCGAGGGUUGUCAGUAGCGUAUUCUCGAACAUAGGAUUUGUAUGGAUUUUUCUGUAAUUCGAGUGUCGUUGGUGGCGUAUUUCUCGAACGUAGGAACAUUUGGAUUUGAUCUCCAUGAAAGGAGGUUUUGUCUUCUUGAUAUGUAUUUUCUCUCUUGAUUUUCUCCAUAAUUCGAGGGUUGUCAGUAGCGUAUUCUCGAACGUAGGAUUUGAUAUGAAUUUUUCCGUAAUUCGAGUGCCGUUGGUGGCGUAUUUCUCGAACGUGGGAACAUUUGGAUUUGAUUUCCAUGAAAAGAUGUUUUGUCUUCUUGAUAUGUAUUUGAUUAUCAAGAAGGAAGGGAGGUUUUGUCUUCUUGAUAUGUAUUUGAUUAUCAAGAAGGAAGAGUUUUAAUCUAUAAAUAUUCCAUGAAUUUAUUGGGACUUUGAAGACUGUUGAUCUGUUUGUGAAUAUCCCGUGAAUUUGUGGGAUAUUGGCCUCUUUAAAGGGAUAUUUGUCCCCUUUAUAUAGACGUAAUUUAGGGUUUAGGUAGGGUAACCAUCAAACUAAAUUUAGGGUAAAGUAGCCCAAGAACUCUAACCAAAAUUGAACUAUUUUUGUAGAGUCCACAAAAUUUCAAUGUCUACAGCGUAAAAAAAGUAGGUAAACUGAAAAAUAUCGUUAGACGUUUAUUCUUACACAAUUUUCAUGUCGUAUCUAUUACUCUUUCCUUUUCAUUUUAGUUGUUCCUCCUUCUAAAAAUAUUUGUUUCAAUUUAGUUGUCACGUUGAUGAAAUCAAGAGAAUUUUAAUAUGUUUUUUCAAAAAUACUCUUAUCAUUAAAUGUCUAAACAAGUUAUAUAUAUUCAAAUUUAUAUUUUUCAAAGUAUAAUAGAAUUAAAAUAUUUUUUCUCUUUAUAGAUACCAUUAUUUUUGGUUGUAAUAUAACUAAUUUUUUGACAAAAAUAAAACUCUAUAAGCAUAAUAGAAUUCAAUACUUGGUUAUAUCAUGAGAGUUCUAUACAAAUCAUACUUUAAAUUGGAGAAAAAUUCAUUAUUUGGUUAUAGGCUUAUACCAUGAUUUGAGUCGGAAGAAAAAAGGCAAAAAAAGAAAAUAAACUAGUUUCAUAAAAGAUAAGAAAUUCACACAAUAUCUAUAAAGACAUGAGUAAAUACAUAAUUACCCCACGAUGUUGGCCGAAAUUUUUAAAAAGACACCUUAACUUUGAAUUCAACCCAUUACUCCACGAUUUUUACUUAAUCCGUUGCAAACACACCAUUUUUCGCUGAAUCUCAGUCACAAUAAAGAGAGUGAACACACACACCAAUCAGGUGCUGCCACAUGUCAGAUAUGUUUAAUUUUUAUUUAUUUAUUUUAAUAAAAUUUUACUUUUUAUUUAAUUUACACUCCACCCCACCCCACUCCAUCCAGCAACUCCCCCUCCCAGCAGCUCUCCUCUUUUUUUUUAAAAAAAAAAUAUCUUUAAAACUCCAUUAAAGCUCAAUUAACUAACUUUAAAACUCAAUUCAAUCAUUUAACUAUCCUUAAAACUCAAUUAAAUCAUAAAAUAAUUUUUUGAAUUGAUUUGAACAAAAAAGAAAAUGGGAAAAGAGAUUUUGACGGAAUGGAGGGUUAGGGGGGUUAGGGGGAGAUGCUGACAGGGUGGGGUGUUGGACGGAGGGUGAGGGUGCUAAAUGAGGGUGGGGGGGAGAGGGGCGGAGUGGGGUAGAGAUAAUUUUAUAAAAUAAAUAAAGAUUUAAAAAAAAUAUAUAAAUUAUAUAUCAAUUAUUCUACACGUGACAGCUUUUGAUUGGCCAAAAAAGUCAAAUUCAAGCCCUUUCACGCGCCUGUGGCACGUGUAUACACGCAGAGGGUCAAAAUGGUGUGUUUGCAACGAAAUAAAGAAGAAUCGCGGGGUAAUAGGUCGAAGUUAAAGUUUAGGUAUCUUUUUACAAAUCUCGAACAAGAUCAGGGGAUGAUUAUGUAUUUACUCUAAAGACAUUCAUCUUUUUUAAUGAAAGUAUUAAUUACUUACUAGUAUACGUACCCGUGCGAUGCACGGAAAUAUUAAAGUAUUACUUAUAAUAGUUUUAUAUUGAAAUAUAUCUUUCGAGCAAGUUAAAUCAUAUUAACUUAAAGAAAGUGUAACUACCAUAUUAUUUCUCAAUGUAAUACAUAUAUAUAUAUAUAUAUGUAUAUAUAUAUAUAUAUAUAUAUAUAUAUGUAUAUAUNNNNNNNNNNNNNNNNNNNNNNNNNNNNNNNNNNNNNNNNNNNNNNNNNNNNNNNNNNNNNNNUAUAUAUAUAUAUAUAUAUAUGUAUAUAUAUAUAUAUAUAUAUACACAUACAUAUAUAUAUACUAGUUUAGGUGUACGCACACGUGUACCUUACUUUAUUGAGUUCAAACAUUGCACUAAAUAAAUACUUGUUUAAAUAAUAAAGAAAUACAAUAAUUAAAUUCAACAUCUUUUGGAGAUUUGAUUAACUAAACCUAAUCUUUACCAAAAAAAAUUGUCAAAGUCGAUCGACAUUGAUCUACCACCCGUAAACUGCAACAAAACAAUACGAUGAUAGAGACAUCAAAAUAAUAUAAUUAAAUAUAAUUUUUACACAAAAAUUUUCUCAAAGCCAUCUGACACUUAUCUUCCACCUGUAAACUAUAACAAAAUAAUACGAUAAUAGAGAUAUCAAAAUAAUACAAUUAAACCUAACCUCUGCACACAAAAAUUUUUCAAAGUUGAUCGACAUUCAUCUACGAUCAGUAAACUAUCAUCUACAACCUGUAAACACUCGAAGCCGACCGACAUUCAUUUAGCACAUGUAAAUUCAUCUACCGCCUAUACAUUUAUGUAUGACGUGUAAACUAUAAAUAUAUCUUGAUUAAUAAAUAAACAUGCCUAUUAUACUAUAAAUAUAUAGUCAUUGGAUUAAAAUUCUACUUUCUGUUCUUUUAAUUUUUUUGAAGAGUUCGAGUAGUCUAGAAUUUAGUAGGACUCUCAAAACAUUCUUGACAUAGUAUGAUAUUCUCGAAUAAGUCGCACAUUAUUAAGAGUAUAUUUAUGUCAUAAUUUUAUUUUCAAUGUUUUUUUUUUCAUGAGGAAUUCCAUUUUCUAAUAUUUGGUUUUCCCAUCAAAAUAAGGAAUUAAUUUUCCUAUCUUAAUGGUGGUAAAAUAAUUUUUUUUUAUUUCACAUUAUUAGUAUUUAGUUUUAAUAUAUAUAUAUAUUAUUAUUAUUAUUAUUUUUAUUUUAUUUUAUCUUAUCUUUUCUUUCUUUUUCAUCACCAUUCCAAAAUACCCUCAUAAAAAGUUUCAACAACUCUUCAAUGACUACCAUGGCCAAUCUCUUUAUCUUCCUCGUCUGUAUUUAUCUUUCAAACAAGCAAUAUUUACUCUCCGCCUUUUCAAUUUUACCAUUUUUAUCAAUGACAAAACAUCAAACUUUUUGUCUUCAUCAUUACACUCUUCUUCAAACUCUUCCUUCUCAUCAUCCUAUUCCAAUAAACCAUUACUUUUUUUCUUUUCUAAGUUCGAAUUCAUCAACAACCCAAUCUUACAAGACUUCAUCUUUUCACUACAUUUUCCAUCAAAAUCAUUUUUGGAACAACACCCAUUUCUCAAUUCACUUGAUUUCCCACCAAAAAUCACAAAAAAAAAUGGUUCCAAUCCUUACAAUACUAAAUAAAUUGCAAAACCCUCAAUCCCAAAUCAAAUAACAACAACUUCAAAACUUUAUACAAUUGUCCAAGCUACCCAAACGCCAAAAACCCAAAUCUCAAAUCAGCAUUUAAACUCAAAUACUUCAGGGAUUCAACACAAUCCAUAAAAACAAAAUCCAAAAAUCUCUUACUGAAUUCAAAAACUGAACACAAAAUGAACAAGAAAUAUAAAAGACAAAUAAUCUGAUGUGGGUAUCAAUGUUUUAUAUGGCAUUGUUCCAAAAUACAGAAAUUUAAGCACAAAAUACUAACAAUGAAUAAUACUUCUUUUUUAGUUUCUAAAAAACAAAAAUUGUUGAUUUUUUCGUAGUAUCCAUUGGAGCUCCGUCGAUCGAAGCUCUCUGAGAGACGAUCGUAGAUUGAGGGGCCAAAAGUUAGAGAGAAGAUAGAAGGUAUAUUAGGUUAUUGAAGAUGUAGAGAAAGAGAAUAUAUAUAUAUAUAUAUAUAUAUAUAUAUAAGAAUAAUAAUUGUUUUUUUAAAUAUAAAAAUAUAAUAUUACGUGAAAAUUUGCGUGGCAUGACAUGGCAGGUGUGUGUUGCUCACUUUUCAUUACACACCUGAGUGUGAGUUUUCGGAGAGGGAGUAACAAUUCCAUUUUUAAAAUGUUCAGGGGGGUCAUAGGAUCCCCGCAAAGUAUAAGUGUCUAGUUGAGAUUUGGGGCAAAGGUUGGGGGCUCUUUUGGCCAUUUUCUCAAAUUGUAAAUAAGUCAAUUUCAAAAUAUUUAUUGUAUAUAAGUCAUUAUAAAAAAAUCACAAAAAACAUCUCAGUUAUCAAUUACCUAUCCAGAAUAGAUGAUAAUUUAUUAUUUAAACUUCAAGAACAUACAAAAAUCAUAAAAGAGAACUUUUCAAUUAGUAGAAGUCUAAUAAAAAUACAAGAUAAUUUAUUUUUAUAACAUAAAAAAAUACUAAAAUUCUUGAAAACUUACCUCAAAUCACAAGAAAUUUUGUUUCUUCAAUAAUAAAUAUUGUUAAUAUUUCACUAAAAACUUCUCAGUUAGCAAUUGUCUAUCACGAAUACAUGAUGAUUAAUUAUUAUAAAUUUCAAAAACAUACUGAUUAAAAUUUUAAAAAAUUUACCUCAAAUCACAAGCAAAUUUAUUUUUUUAAUCAUAAAUAUUAUCAAGAUUGUAAACAUCAAAAAAAAAAUUUUUAGAAAACAUACCUUAAAUCACAAUCAAAAUUAUAAACAAAGAUUAAAAAAAAAAUUAUUUGAGAACUAUAUUAUUGAAGUAUUAUUCUAGAAAGGAAGAAUUCUCAAUUUAUAAGAAAUUUUAGGUUUAGUUUACUUUCCUUCUUUGUCAAUUCAAUUUGUAUUUAUUUAAUGUAAAUUUUUUUUGUUUUAUUUUUCUUUUUUCCUUCUUCUUUUUUUUUUUCCCUUUUUCCUACACACGUUUUCUUUUUCCUUUUCAAUUCAAUUUAACUUUGUUUCCAAUAAUAUAUUUUCCUUUUUUUUGGUUCUCUUUUUUGCUUUGGACCUUCUUUUUCUUGUUCUUUUCAAUUCAAAUUAACAUUAUUUUUUUAUUUAAUUUAUUAAUAAAUUACAUAUAAGGUAAGAUUUGAAUUGAUUUAGAACUUUCUCUCCUAACUCAAUAAGGAUUUUAAUUAAUUUCAAAGUUCUAAUAUUAAUAAUAACUAAAUAAUAAUUUGAGGAAAAUAGUGAAAAGACGAUUCUGUCUAAAGAGGAGACUUUUAAUGAAGGACAAAAAGUUCAAAUCACUUUUCUAAGGAUCUUCACACGUUUAAGAUUAUUAGUUACUCGUUGAAUUUCUUCGAGACACUUUUUUCACUAAGCGAUUUAUAUGAAUCAUUAAUUUUCCUUUCAUGGAGCUUCUCUCUCUCUACGUAUAGAGAGACCUCUCCACCUCCACCUCCGUCUCCAUCUCCACACCUCCCACCCUUACCUCCACUUUUAUCUCCACACUCUCCCUGUUUUUUUCAUUUAAAAUUUAUGAAUGGUAAUAUGUGUAUUAUCUAAUUACUUCAUUAUAUAGAAAUUAGAAUAAAUAAGCUUUAUUAUGUCAAAUAAAUAAAAUAUAAAUUAAAAGAAGAUUCUGAAUUAAUCUAAUAUGUUAUAUGUGGUUAUAAUUUAAAAUUCAAGUUAAAUACUUUUACAUCUAUUAAACUAUUUAUAAUAUAUUUUAUUUUACUUUUUUUACUCAGAUUUAAAAAAUUUAUUAACCCAUCCUAAGAGUCAAAAGAAUUUCCAGAAUGCAUGUAAUAUUCUUGAAUAUGAAUUUUACAUGAAAAAGUAAAAUCAUAAAUUUUUAUGCGAAAAAUAAUAUUAAUGUGUAACUGUGAACAUAAUAUUUAAUUAAAUUAUAGGCUGCAAUAUUAAAAAUUUAUGAUGAUUUAACAUUUUAUGUUUUUUAAUUAAAACAUUGCCAACAAAAGAAACUAUCAUUAUAAAAUUUAAGUUGUUGCUUGUGUUUUAGUCAUCACGAUCUUUUUUUUUUUAACUUUAUCUAUUGAAAAUUUAAAUAAAAAUAUAAUAUUAUCUAUAAGAUUACCUUUCUUGUCAUCAAAAUAUUCUUAUCUCAAAUCUAAAUAGAAAUAGAUAAACUAUCACAACUUAAAUUUUAUCUAAUAUUGAUUAAUUAAUAUGAAUUUCAAACUUGAACUCAUAAUAAUUAAAUUUUAUAAUUCAUUAUACUUCUCGUAACAUCAUAUUAAAUAAUUAAUUCUUCAUAAAAAAAAAUAGAAACACAUAAAUUAAUAUGAGCAUUUAUUUUUUUAAAAUAAAUUAUAUCAAAAUAAUAACAAAAGUUAUCAUUUAAAAAGAAUCAACUUAACUUCUCAAUUAAAGAUGAUUUUAUUUUUCAUUUACGUAAUUGAAUUUAUUUUAUUCAGAAUCAAACGAAUAGAAAAAUAUUACUUACUUGUAUUAAAACUUGGAUAUAGUGAAACAAAUUAAUCUGUAAUAACACUAUCAAUCAUCUGCAUAUAAAAAAUAAAAAUGUUAAAUUUCUAAAAAAAAUCAUGAAUAAAAUUAAUAAUCAAUAACAAAGAAGGAGAAUGAAAGCUUAAUAUUAUAUAGCAUUGUAGCAGUAUUUAUAGAAAGGUUAAGAAGUUAGAAAUAUAUUCCAACUCAAAUUUCAUUCGAAUUCAAAUUUCAUGAGAAGAUCAGUACACUAAUUAGGAUAUUGAUUUGGAUAAAUAUAAAUAUAAAAAAAAAAAAGUAAAAACUUUUAAUUGCUAAUAAGAGGAUUAUGCUAUGAAAAAGUAAUUGUCAAAUAACUCAUUUUUUAAUUUAAAUUUUAAAGUAUUUUUAAUUAAUAAGGGGUGGGAGUAAGGUAACAACAACAAUAAUGUUACUUCUAUCCCUAUUGCUACGAUGCUACUACUACAUAGUACCCGUGCUACUUAUUAUUAUUAUUAUUAUUAUUAUUAUUAUUAUUAUUAUUAUUAUUAUUAUUAUUAUUAUUAUUUUACUAUCUCUACUAACAUCAUGUAGUACUAUUUCGUUAAUGAUAGUUCUUCUUUUUUAAAAUUAAUUAAUUAAUCUUUUCUUAUCUUUAGGCUUUUCAAAUAAUAUUCAUAUUUAUUCUAUAAUCUAUUAAGUUUAAUUAAUUGUUAUAAAUAUUAUAUUAUUAGUGCCGCGAUUACUUUAUUCGUACAAUGUAAUACUACUGCUACUAUUACUAUUUUUCUGUUAAUUAUUAUUAUUAAUAUUUUUAAUUUUUAUUUAAAAUUCAAAUAAUUCAAGUAUAUUAUUACGGCCACUACUACAUCUAUUUAUUAAUAUUAUUAUUUUUUACAUAAUGUUUAAAUUAAAUAGUUUUAAAAAUAUUUUAUAAUAUCUAAAAGAGAUGAGUUUAUGAAAUAAUAAGAGUUCAUCAAAAUUUUAAAAUAAGAGAUUAUAUAGAUUACAAUAUUUGAUAGGAUAAGCUCAACGUAACUCCAAAAGAGUUCUAAAUAAACUAUACCACAUGUUUCUUGUUUCUUAGUUACUAUCUCUAUUUUUAAUAAAUUAAUGAAGUUAUCUUUUUAUAUUUCAAAGCUUAUUUUUUAAUAUAUUUGUUAUAUUUUUUUAAUUUAAAUUAAAAAGUUCAAAAGGUUAUUAAAUAGCUAAAUAAAAUCUGCAUACUAAAAAAGUAUUUUUAAAUUCAGUUUUGAAUAUGAUCGUUAUCUUUUUUUCAAUUCAAAAAAUUAUAUAUUUCAUUUUAAAUUCAAACUUUUGUUUUAUCAAUUCAAUAUUUGAGUUAUGAUUCAAAAUAGUAUUUCCAACCUAGUCUCCAUCAUUUAUCUUUAUAUAAAUUCAAAGCACCAUUUAUGUAGGGACAAAGUGAAAAGGUUAAAAUUAUUUAGUUAGAAAUGAAUGAAGUACUACUACUGUUACUAUUUUAUAAAAUUAUUAUUAUUAUUAUAUAACCACACUAUUACUAUUGUUAUACACGUUUUGAGUAAGCAUUACACUACGUACUAUUAUCUAUUACUAUUGUUAUUAAAUCAAAGAUAUUCAAAUAUAUUUUAUUAUAUAUAAAGGAAGAAAUUUAUGAAAUAGUAAGAGUUUAUUUUGGACUCUACAAUCAUAAGUUUUAUUUUUAAGUCAAUAUUUUUUUUUUAAAAAAAAGGAUAAUGCAUUUCAAAUUCAAAUUUUUUAUUACAAAACUAUUAAGUUUUGUCCUAAAUCUUGCCACAUGGCUUUUAAAUAUCUUGCCACAUGGCUUCUUAUCUAGCUUUUAUAUAUAGAGAGAUAUUUUUUUUUUUUAAAAAGGAUAACGCAUUUUCAAUUCAAAUAUUUAAUUCUCUUAAAUUCAAAUUUUUUAUUACAAAACUAUUAAGUUUUGUCCUAAAUAUUGCCACGUGGUUUUUUAAUAUCUUGCCGUGUAGCUUCUUGUCUAACUUUUAGUUUUGCUUUUAUAUAUAUAUAGAUUAUUGUUAUUAAAUCAAAUAUAUUUUAUUACAUAUAAAGGAAGAAAUUUAUGAAAUAGUAAGAGUUUAUUUUGGACUCUUCAAUCAUAAGUUUUAUUUUUAAACUAAUAAUUUUUUUUUUUAAAAGGAUAAUGCAUUUUCAAAUUCAAAUAUUUAAUACUUUUAAAUUUAAAUUUUUUAUUACAAAACUAUUAAAUUUUAUCCUAAAUAUUGCUACAUGACUUUUUAAUAUCUUAUGACGUGACUUCUUGUCUAGCUUAUAUAUAUAUAUAUAUAUGACAAAAAUAUCUUGUACUAAUAUGCUAUACAAGUACAAUUCUAACCUUUUACCCGUACACUUAUAUUUUGAUUUUGUUAAUAGCGUAAGAUGGCAUUGCGCGUUAGGCUCGUUUUGUGGCGGCAUUCACUCACAGCCAUACGUAAAUUGGGUUAGGCAAAUAAGUAAUUUCGGUAAUCAAGUCGGCUUAUUUUGGUCAAUUUACAAGUCCCACUUGGCUACAGCAAUCCCAUCCUCCCAACUCCCUAUAAAUACUCCCCUGCACUCGUCAGCAGUCCCUCUGAAGCAUUCACUUCACUGGACCGCCCCUUUCUUCCUCUCUCUUAUUAGCAAUCGUAGUAUUCCCUUUUUUUAGAGAGAGAGAAAGCAAAAGGCUAAUUUGCAAUCAUGUUGGUUUAUCAAGAUCUCAUAUCUGGUACUUUUUCUCGUUUUCAUUCAUGCCUUUUGUGGUUUAUUUGCUUCGACAGAAUGUUCUUUUUCCCUCUGUUUUUCUGGUUAUGUUUUUGUGUUAAUAGAAAAUUGUAAUCUUGAAUUUGAAUUGUGUUGUUUUAUCCAUCUAUAGUGAACCUUGUUGGAUGAUUGGCUUGUGCCUGUUAUUGAAUAAUGGAAUUUUGUAUGAAUUUAUGUUUCUCUGAGCUGUUAAUUGGAUCUGGUUGAUUUUAUUGAUGCUACUGAAUGUUCUCCCUAGGUUCUAAGCCGCUUUUUUUUUUUUAAAUUAUUUUUUCAAAAUUUAUUUGGGGAAUUAAGGAACUGGAUCUGAUCUGGAUAUUACGUUUCAACACCAUCGUGGUGGAUGAAUUUCCCCCAAAAAAUUUAUGAUUCUGAAUUUUUAUGAGCCAUGUUGUAGGAGUGAUUUGGAUGCAUAAAGUCUUGAUCUUUGGUUGGUUCUAGUAUAUGAGCAAGACUUGUGCCACAUUAAAUUUAUUCUGCACUAUAUGUUUAUUGAGAAAAUUUAAGCAAUUUUAUGUAACAAACAUAAAAAGAUGUGUUCUUUCACAUGCCCAGAAUUCUGAAUCUUCUUUUUGUGGAAGCAGCGGAUUCUAGUAAUUUCAAUGAUUAUAAGAAAAAUAGAAUAAACAGACUUUCUCUUUGGGUAUGAUCUUUGAUCCUUCCACGUUUCUUUUAAUUAGCUAUAUACAUUCAAGUCCAAACUUUGUGGGAAUACACUGGGUUUGUUGUUGUUGUUGUUGUUGAUAUACAUUCAAGUAUUGGUUGUUACUUCACCUACGAGUUGCUCUAGCUGUUUUGUAUGCAUGAGUUCAGUGAGUAUUGCAACAAUGUUUUGGACAAAUUGUUGAGUUUUACCUUUGCUUUUGUGCAUUCGAUGAUGUUCCUUGUGUAUCUCCUCAAUUUGGAUUACUUGUAUGCUUUUUCUGUUAUACAGACUUUAAAAGGACAUUCAGCUUGUAGGAAUUUUUGUUUUCGUAUGUGUCCCCUUCAUGAAAUGUUGCCACUUCUGAAACUUAGAACACUUAAUUAAAUAUUGCAGGUGAUNNNNNNNNNNNNNNNNNNNNNNNNNUCCCUACAAGGAACUUGAGAAUGGAGUUCUUUGGGAGGUUCAAGGGAAGGUAAGCUCUCCAGUUAAUUAUUGCCCCAAAUAUUUUUAUAAGCUAGCAGCCAGAUUUAUGUGGACUAUCUAUUUCAAGUAAAAAGGAAUAAUGUGGUGUAUCGGUUGAUUACAGUGGGUUGUUCAAGGUGCUGUUGAUGUAGACAUUGGGGCAAAUCCUUCCGCUGAGGGUGGCGAUGACGAUGAAGGUGUGGAUGAUCAAGCUGUCAAGGUUGUUGAUAUUGUUGACACUUUUAGACUUCAGGUUUGUAUGCAUUUUCAGGGUAACUUGACGAAGUUACUUUUAAUAUACCUGUUAAUUGUAUGCGAAUAAGAAGUGAUUUGAUAUUUGCAGGAGCAACCUUCUUUUGACAAGAAGGGAUUUGUUGGUUACAUCAAGAAAUACAUCAAGAACCUGACACCAAAGCUAGAAGGAGAAGCGCAAGAUUUAUUUAAAAAGAACAUUGAGUCAGCAACUAAGUUCCUCAUGUCAAAGCUCAAGGAUCUUCAAUUGUAUGUCCAUUUUAACUCUUUAUCAGUUCAUGACAUUGUUGAAGCUAAUUCUGGCUGAAGUAGUUGAAUUCGCUUUGUUUUCUUGCUCACAUAAAUUGUUCCUUGAAAUAGAACCUUAUGCCUGUGUGUU
rnacentral:lncRNA from 1 species